CAUAUAUUCAACGUCUGUUGAAUAUAUGUCUGAUUGUUGCUUAAGGAGCUACCCUUGGAAGUCUAGAAUAAGGUUUGGUGGCCAAAGUCAUAGUGAGAUGCAGAGGGUCUCAGGGGAUGGAGGGAAGGCAGGAUCCUGUAGAUGCGAGGUUAUACACCACUUCCCUACGCCCCGGGCCGCCCAGGGUGCAUGUGCGCAGCCGCAGUCCCGUAGCGGGCCCGAGCGUUCCCAGCAGAGGGCACUCUAGGGCAGGACAUCCCACAGGCUCACCCCGGGUGACCCAGGGCCUGCACCUGUGGCCUGGGUUUUGCUAGCUACUGUUUAAUCACGCCCUGACUACCCACGUCUGGAAAACCAAGCCAUAAUCUACCCAAGAAUACAACUUAGAGACAGAUGUCCUCAUCUCCACCCAAGAAAACUCCAAGGCACGGUUUUCUUCCUUUUAAAGCCAAGUUAGGCUCAAGCCAUAUUCCGUAUUCCGAUGACGUAAUGAAUUCUCUACAGAAGUCACCACAUUUGUUGUAUUCAUCCAUUUAGCUUAGUGAAUAUCAACUAUUUGCCCGUGAUUGCUUCAAGGAUACAGAAAUGGAUAAGAGAGAGUCUGUCACUAUGGGGCUCGCAAGGCAAUGGAGGGUGAAUAGAUUAGUGUGUGAAGUAGUUGAGAAGUCCAUUCCGAUAAAGUGACUUUGGACCAGAGACAUGAAGUGUAGGGAUAACCCUUUUCAAAUCCAGGAAAGUGCCUUCUAGACCAGGAGAUACACGUGCAAAGGUCCUGUGGUAGGAAUGUGCUUGAAGUGAUGGCGUGUGACAGGAGUUGAGUGGGCCAGGACAAGUGAAAACCUGGGAUAUGGCUAGCGAGAGUUUAUCUGGGAUGGGCCUGCAACCCGUGGGGCCUUUAAUAGCUUUUUACUCGGAGAUGAAGGAGGCAGGAAAGGAUUUGCAGCUGGGGGUGGUAUGGGGUACAUGCCUAUAAUCUCAGCACUUGGGAGGUGGAGG